UAGGGAAUCUUCCACAAUGGGCGCAAGCCUGAUGGAGCAACACCGCGUGAGUGAAGAAGGGUUUCGGCUCGUAAAGCUCUGUUGUUAAAGGAGAACACGUAUGAGAGUAACUGUUCAUACGUUGACGGUAUUUAACCAGAAAGUCACGGCUAACUACGUGCCAC
rnacentral:rRNA from 1 species